rnacentral:misc_RNA from 1 species
AAGUCACAACAAGGUUUCCGUAGGUGAACCUGCGGAAGGAUCAUUAAUAAUGCCCUUUGACUUCGGUCUAUUGGGUUCAAUGUGUGCCUUCUCUUCGGAGUUGGCCAUCCACACACACCGUGAAACUGUGGCUUCGGUCAUCACAAACUAUUAGUAAUGAAUGUAAUAUCAUAACAAAAUAAAA